CUGCAAGACGUUCACAGAAGUAAACUCAUCAGCUGUAGUUGUACAUAGUCAUGGAUUUUGAAACUGGCCGUGGAGACAAUAAUGGAAACCUUAAGCCUGGUAAUAACAUUCACACAGUAGUGACCUAAAUACCUAUUUCUAAAGAAAUACAGAACCCAAACCCACCAAUCCUGAUUCAACAGAGGGUGGCCCAGAGUGUCCCAAACCAAGAAAGAUUGUAGCCUUCACAGCCAAACUAAACAUUUGUGACAGCUACCCAACUCACAGCAGUAUCCUGAAGUUUGCCAACGUCCUGGUCAAUGAGGGAGACGGCUAUAGUACUCAUACAGGAAAAUUCAACUGCCCACUGGCUGGCUUGUACCAGUUCACAUUGCAUAUGUCCAC